rnacentral:rRNA from 1 species
GAUGAACGCUAGCUACAGGCUUAACACAUGCAAGUCGAGGGGCAGCAUUUCAGUUUGCUUGCAAACUGGAGAUGGCGACCGGCGCACGGGUGAGUAACACGUAUCCAACCUGCCGAUAACUCGGGGAUAGCCUUUCGAAAGAAAGAUUAAUACCCGAUGGUAUAAUUAGACCGCAUGGUCUUGUUAUUAAAGGUAUUCCGGUAGACGAUGGGGAUGCGUUCCAUUAGAUAGUAGGCGGGGUAACGGCCCACCUAGUCUUCGAUGGAUAGGGGUUCUGAGAGGAAGGUCCCCCACAUUGGAACUGAGACACGGUCCAA